AUUGACCGAAAAACACCGCUGAAGUCCAGCGGCACCGCUGCGGGUUUCCUCAGUUUUUGCCUCCAAUGAGGCCCUUCCCUUUUCUCGUUCGAUGUAAUUUUUAUACCACUAUGACCACCGUCCUUUUCUCUACAUGUUGACUGGAGCAAAACACCAAAUCGCAACUCGCACCAGAGGAGCUGUCGUACACGAGAUCUUCGCCGCCGGUAAGUUUCGAUUUUCUAAAAUUUUUUGGCCCACCGAGGGCCCUAGGGGUGUUUUAUCACCGGAACCAAUGCAAGUUUGGCCGAAUUCGGCCGAAAACAACCAACCCGAGGCGGAUCGUCGCCGUGGGCGGCAACACCGUGCUGGAAUUCUGAAAUUGGGCGAAAGGU
rnacentral:lncRNA from 1 species